GUAGGGGGCACUUGUUUUCAGUAAUUAUGUGCGUUUUUGGUGUUUAAUUGGUCUGUUUGAGAGAUAAGUACCAGGAGCCUUGGCCAGUGUCCACUGUAGUCCGGGCAGAUUUAAUAGCUAAUCUGCAGAACCCAUUAUAGAAGCUGUAAAACUCAGUGUCUGUGUGUGAGGAUGGACAGGAAGAGGAUGUGAUCACUCCCCAUCUGCCCAGUAAUAGCCUCUCACACAUGAAAUAAAUUGCAUGAUAAGCAGGGACAGCACUGACUGAUACACGCUGUAUAUCAUGGGACAGUACUGAGUGAUACACUGUAUACCAUAGGACAGCACUGAGUGAUACACACUGUAUAUCAUAGGACAGCACUGAGUGAUACACACGC